rnacentral:ncRNA from 1 species
UGGGUGUCCUUUGGACUUAAUAGGGAAUUCGGUGUGAAACCGAAGCGGUCCCGCCACCGUAAGGAAGAGUGAAGCUGCAAUAUGUCACUGAGGGGGCAUCCCUUGGGAAGGCGCAGCCGAGCGAUGAUGCCGAGCCGGGAGAACUGCCUGUUU